GAAUCUGCCUGGUAGUGGGGGAUAACGUUCGGAAACGAACGCUAAUACCGCAUACGUCCUACGGGAGAAAGCAGGGGACCUUCGGGCCUUGCGCUAUCAGAUGAGCCUAGGUCGGAUUAGCUAGUUGGUGAGGUAAUGGCUCACCAAGGCGACGAUCCGUAACUGGUCUGAGAGGAUGAUCAGUCACACUGGAACUGAGACACGGUCCAGACUCCUACGGGAGGCAGCAGUGGGGAAUAUUGGACAAUGGGCGAAAGCCUGAUCCAGCCAUGCCGCGUGUGUGAAGAAGGUCUUCGGAUUGUAAAGCACUUUAAGUUGGGAGGAAGGGCAGUUACCUAAUACGUGAUUGUUUUGACGUUACCGACAGAAUAAGCACCGGCUAACUCUGUGCCAGCAGCCGCGGUAAUACAGAGGGUGCAAGCGUUAAUCGGAAUUACUGGGCGUAAAGCGCGCGUAGGUGGUUUGUUAAGUUGGAUGUGAAAUCCCCGGGCUCAACCUGGGAACUGCAUUCAAAACUGACUGACUAGAGUAUGGUAGAGGGUGGUGGAAUUUCCUGUGUAGCGGUGAAAUGCGUAGAUAUAGGAAGGAACACCAGUGGCGAAGGCGACCACCUGGACUAAUACUGACACUGAGGUGCGAAAGCGUGGGGGAGCAAACAGGAUUAGAUACCCUGGUAGUCCACGCCGUAAACGAUGUCAACUAGCCGUUGGAAGCCUUGAGCUUUUAGUGGCGCAGCUAACGCAUUAAGUUGACCGCCUGGGGGAGUACGGCCCGCAAGGGUUA
rnacentral:rRNA from 1 species